rnacentral:rRNA from 1 species
AUUGAACGCUGGCGGCAGGCCUAACACAUGCAAGUCGAGCGGUAGCACAGAGAGCUUGCUCUCGGGUGACGAGCGGCGGACGGGUGAGUAAUGUCUGGGAAACUGCCUGAUGGAGGGGGAUAACUACUGGAAACGGUAGCUAAUACCGCAUAACGUCGCAAGACCAAAGUGGGGGACCUUCGGGCCUCAUGCCAUCAGAUGUGCCCAGAUGGGAUUAGCUAGUAGGUGGGGUAACGGCUCACCUAGGCGACGAUCCCUAGCUGGUCUGAGAGGAUAACCAGCCACACUGGAACUGGGACACGGUCCAGACUCCUACGGAAGGCAGCAGUGGGGAAUAUUGCACAAUGGGCGCAAGCCUGAUGCAGCCAUGCCGCGUGUGUGAAGAAGGCCUUCGGGUUGUAAAGCACUUUCAGCGGGGAGGAAGGCGGUGAGGUUAAUAACCUCACCGAUUGACGUUACCCGCAGAAGAGGCACCGGCUAACUCCGUGCCAGCAGCCGCGGUAAUGC